rnacentral:rRNA from 2 species
AUAGGAGACAAGAAGGCAUCUUCUUGUUUUUAAAAGACCUAGCAAUAGAGUAUGCUUAGGGAGGAGCUUGCGUCACAUUAGUUAGUUGGUGAGGUAAAGGCCUGCCAAGACUAUGAUGUGUAGCCGGGCUGAGAGGUUGAACGGCCACAUUGGGACUGAGACACGGCCCAAACUCCUACGGGAGGCAGCAUGAGGGAAUUUUCGGCAAUGGAGGAAACUCUGACCGAGCAACGCCGCGUGAACGAUGAAGUAUUUCGGUACGUAAAGUUCUUUUAUUAGGGAAGAAUAACUGAUGGAAAAAUCAUUCUGACGGUACCUAAUGAAUAAGCGCCGGCUAACUGUGUGCCGGCAGCCGCGUUAAUACAUAGGGUGCAAGCGUUAUCCGGAAUUAUUGCGCGUAAAGGGCGCGUAGGCGGUUAAAUAUGUUUAUGGUCUAAGUGCCAUGCUCAACAUUGUGAUGCUAUAAACACUGUUUA